rnacentral:rRNA from 1 species
UACGUAGGGAGCGAGCGUUGUCCGGAAUUACUGGGUGUAAAGGGAGUGUAGGCGGGAUGGUAAGUUAGGUGUGAAAUGCGGAGGCUCAACCUCCGAGCUGCACUUAAAACUGCUGUUCUUGAGUACUGGAGAGGCAGACGGAAUUCCUAGUGUAGCGGUGAAAUGCGUAGAUAUUAGGAGGAACAUCGGUGGCGAAGGCGGCUUACUGGGCUUUUACUGACGCUGAGGCUCGAAAGUGUGGGGAGCAA